rnacentral:rRNA from 1 species
GUCCUCACGGUAUUAAUAUGAGGUCAGGCCUGCCCACUGAUGAUUAAUUUUAAGGGCCGCGAUAUAUUAAUCGUGCGAAGGUAGCAUAGUCAAUAGUCUUUUAAUUGGAGGCUUGAAUGAACGGUCGGACAUGAGGAAAUCUGUCUUAGCUUAGAGAGAUGAAUUUAACUUUGGUGUGAGAAGGCAUUAAUGGUUUGGGGGGACGAUAAGACCCUAUAAAACUUUAUAAUUAAUCAUUUUGUUUUCGAUAUUGGAGUAAGGAGAAAUUGAGUGGUGUUUAUUUCGCUGGGGCGGCGAGAAUAUAAUUUAUAUAACUGUUCUUUGAAUUAAAAUAACUAUGGCUAGAUUAUGAUCUUGAAUUUUGGAUUAAAAGUGUAAGUUACUUUAGGGAUAACAGCGUUAUUUCUCUUGAGAGUUCAUAUCGACAGAGAUGUUUGCGACCUCGAUGUUGAAUUAAAACUUCUUUUGGGAGCAGAAAUCCAAAUGGUAGGUCUGUUCGACCUUUAAAGUUUUACAUGAUUUGAGUUCAAACCGGUGUGAG